rnacentral:rRNA from 2 species
AGCGGCAGACGGGUGAGUAACGCGUGGGAAUCUACCUUAAGCUACGGGAUAACAGAGAGAAAUUUCUGCUAAUACCGUAUGUGGCCUAUGGGCGAAAGAUUUAUCGGCUUAAGAUGAGCCCGCGUUGGAUUAGCUAGUUGGUGGGGUAAAGGCCUACCAAGGCGACGAUCCAUAGCUGGUCUGAGAGGAUGAUCAGCCACACAGGGACUGAGACACGGCCCAGACUCCUACGGGAGGCAGCAGUGGGGAAUAUUGGACAAUGGGCGGAAGCCUGAUCCAGCCAUGCCGCGUGAGUGAAGAAGGCCUUAGGGUUGUAAAGCUCUUUCACCGGUGAAGAUAAUGACGGUAACCGGAGAAGAAGCCCCGGCUAACUUCGUGCCAGCAGCCGCGGUAAUACGAAGGGGGCUAGCGUUGUUCGGAUUUACUGGGCGUAAAGCGCGCGUAGGCGGAUAGAUAAGUCANAGGUGAAAUCCCGGGGCUCAACCCCGGAAUUGCCUUUGAUACUGUUUAUCUUGAGUGCAGAANANGUAAGUGGAAUUCCGAGUGUAGAGGUGAAAUUCGUAGAUAUUCGGAGGAACACCAGUGGCGAA